rnacentral:tRNA from 5 species
GCGGGAAUAGCUCAGUUGGUAGAGCACAACCUUGCCAAGGUUGGGGUCGCCAGUUCGAAUCUGGUUUCCCGCUCCA